AUCUUUGUGCUUGGGGCAAUGUCGCAGCCAGUAAGGUUCUAACCGAGUGGUGUUCUAUUGCUGGUUCAAAACUAUUUCCAAACCCCUCUUUGGCCUGGGUUCAAGCUCAGGCCGUUGAGCAUUUCAGGAAGGGUUCCCUUCAAGGUAAAACC